rnacentral:rRNA from 1 species
UACGUAGGGGGCAAGCGUUGUCCGGAAUCAUUGGGCGUAAAGAGCGUGUAGGCGGUCCGGUAAGUCGGCUGUGAAAGUCCAGGGCUCAACCCUGGGAUGCCGGUCGAUACGGGCCUGCUAGGGUCCGGCAGGGGAGACUGGAAUUCCUGGUGUAGCGGUGAAAUGCGCAGAUAUCAGGAGGAACACCGAUGGCGAAGGCAGGUCUCUGGGCCGCAACUGACGCUGAGGAGCGAAAGCAUGGGGAGCGAACAGG